rnacentral:rRNA from 1 species
GGGUUGUGAGGUUAAGCGACUAAGCGUACACGGUGGAUGCCCUGGCAGUCAGAGGCGAUGAAGGACGUGCUAAUCUGCGAUAAGCGUCGGUAAGGUGAUAUGAACCGUUAUAACCGGCGAUUUCCGAAUGGGGAAACCCAGUGUGAUUCGUCACACUAUCAUUAACUGAAUCCAUAGGUUAAUGAGGCGAACCGGGGGAACUGAAACAUCUAAGUACCCCGAGGAAAAGAAAUCAACCGAGAUUCCCCCAGUAGCGGCGAGCGAACGGGGAGGAGCCCAGAGCCUGAAUCAGUGUGUGUGUUAGUGGAAGCGUCUGGAAAGGCGCGCGAUACAGGGUGACAGCCCCGUACACAAAAAUGCACAUGCUGUGAGCUCGAUGAGUAGGGCGGGACACGUGGUAUCCUGUCUGAAUAUGGGGGGACCAUCCUCCAAGGCUAAAUACUCCUGACUGACCGAUAGUGAACCAGUACCGUGAGGGAAAGGCGAAAAGAACCCCGGCGAGGGGAGUGAAAAAGAACCUGAAACCGUGUACGUACAAGCAGUGGGAGCACAGAGCAAUCUGUGUGACUGCGUACCUUUUGUAUAAUGGGUCAGCGACUUAUAUUCUGUAGCAAGGUUAACCGAAUAGGGGAGCCGAAGGGAAACCGAGUCUUAACCGGGCGUUAAGU